UACAGAGGUGCCAAGCGUUAGGCGGAAUCACUGGGCUUAAAGCGCGUGUAGGCGGGUCGUUAAGUGUCCGAGUGAAAUCCCACGGCUCAACCGUGGAACUGCCGGGCAUACUGGCGAUCUUGAGGCAUUCAGGGGCGAGCGGAACAAAAUGGUGGAGCGGUGAAAUGCGUAGAUAUCAUUUGGAACGCCAAUGGUGAAAAACAGCUCGCUGGGAAUGAUCUGACGCUGAGACGCGAAAGCCAGGGGAGCGAACGGG
rnacentral:rRNA from 1 species